rnacentral:rRNA from 1 species
CGGGGGACAAAGUGACAGGUGGUGCAUGGUUGUCGUCAGCUCGUGUCGUGAGAUGUUGGGUUAAGUCCCGCAACGAGCGCAACCCUUAAGCUUAGUUGCCAUCAUUAAGUUGGGCACUCUAAGUUGACUGCCGGUGACAAACCGGAGGAAGGUGGGGAUGACGUCAAAUCAUCAUGCCCCUUAUGAUUUGGGCUACACACGUGCUACAAUGGACAAUACAAAGGGCAGCGAAACCGCGAGGUCAAGCAAAUCCCAUAAAGU